rnacentral:rRNA from 1 species
AUACGGGGUUACGGGGUGCAGCAGGCGCGAAACCUCCGCAAUGUGAGAAAUCGCGACGGGGGGAUCCCAAGUGCUAUUCUUAACGGGAUGGCUUUUCUUUAGUUAAAGAGCUUUGAAUAAGAGCGACGUCCGGCA